ensembl:lncRNA
GGACUAGCCCUGCCUGUGCUGCCCUAUAAAGCACUAGAGGGGGGAGUGUGCCUCCCCUGGCAUCCUGCUAUAAAAUCCUGGGAGUAAUUAUAGCGAACUAUGGCAAAUCAGGAGUAAUCAGAUCAGUCCCGAGGCUGGGAACAUACAUGGAGACACAGCAUCAGCACUGGAUUAAACCUCCCCACCACGACCCCCUCACUGAUUGAGGUACAACGAGUUUCUGCAAGUAGGUAAACGAGAGGGAAAGAGGAAAAGCCGUGAGAGGGAGUGGGAGGAAGAAUGAACCAGAAAGGGAGGCAGCGCAGUGCGAGCGAGCAAGAGAGAGGGGAUGGGGAGGGAGUCAAAAGCAGAAAGCGAGCAACAGCAAGUAGAACAGAGAUGCAGGGAGUUUGAGGGAGAGGGUGGAAAACGGAGGCCCACCACCAACGAGAGGAUGACGGGAGCGAAGUGAGGUAAGAAAGAAAGAAGGGCAAGGGUCCAGAGGAAGAAAACACACCGGGAUAACAUCUACGGGAGGAAACAACGCACCAGAAGGUGGGGGUCAGAGUAAAGAAACAUGCAAGAGAAAGUUUAAUUACAGGACAGAUGAGAAAAACAUCUCCUGGUAAUGACAAAACCGGGACCCUUAAAGAAGGGACACAUCCUCUCGAGAGUCCCCUUCUUGGGUCGCAGAAUGUUCUCCAAGACAAAAGGGGUCGGGGAGCCAUGCAUUCAACCCACCACUUCAAACCAUUUACAAAAUGGAAUUCAAAGACCUCAAGCGGACAUCCUUGCCUAUUUUGGGACUGGGGACCACGUAACGAACACCUGUGGACCAAAGCAACAGAAUUCCCCUCUCAAUGGAUAUACUGCCAAGAAACAUUUAGCUAAUCAGUGGGGUCAUGCACGGCUAGACGUGACUGGCCAGAUUUGUCAGACAGAGUUAACCAGCGUGCGGUGGAAUCGGCCUCCAGGGAAGGACCUACAGCAUAACAGAGUCUCUGUGAACUACAGCUUGAGAGAAUGCAGCUUUGUGGUCCACCGGCACCAGAUCGAGCCACACCCCUUCUUGAGGAAGUGUGCUCUGGACGCGCCAACACAGUUCAGAGGUCAUGGAAACUGUGGAGUGCCUGUUUGUGCAGCAGAGCAACAAUCAGGCUCUGUGCGAGGGGCCCUGCUUACAGAACAACAUGCAUCGGACUGGAUGGACUCAAGUGCCACUCACAAUUCGACCUUUAAUAAGAAUGCAGAACUUUGCACUUCUAACAGACAGGGAACUUUAAGUAGAUGCCUGGGAUGUGUCAUGCAAGAAUUUAAUGGACCUAGUCCGGUGCAUGAAGUUAUGCUAUCUACCAAAGAUGUCAACAAGACCAAUUCUAAGCACCUUAAGUGUCAAGCAAAGGUCACCCAAGGGGAUCUCAGUGGACCAGGAAGAGGGUCUUACGCUUUCAGCUCUAAGCACUCACAAAGAGCAAUUCGGGACCAGAUCCAAAAAGUUGUUGUGAAUCUCGAGGAGGUUCUACACGGCCUGAAAGAGAUACAUCUGGAAAUGAAGGAGGUGGUCCAGAAGAUAGACCUGUUGACGGCUGACAUUGAUAUGGGCAAUGAAGAACCAGGGGACACUUUCAAAGGCAGGAUAGACACUAGAGUGGCAUCAUCUCAAGGAGUCUGCUCUGACAAGUCAUCCCUCAAACCACCACCAGCAUAUCCCAUAAAAGAUCAAGGGCUGCGUGAUGCAGAUCGAAAACGGGAAUCAACUCAGGAGUUGGGCCUUGCUCAAAGAGAUACAUCAGGGACUGCUUCAAGGGGCAGGAGCCAGAAGCCUCCUCCUUACCCCUACGCCAGCACAAAAGGAAGAGUGAAUCCUAAAGCAAAAGUCAAAGGUCAGAAGAUACCACCCUACCCCUUUAGACGGAAACUGCUCUUGACCAUUGUUUGA